UUCGAGCUGCAAAAGGAGAAAAUUUGGGAAGGCUAGAUGACGCGCAAUCCGUCUAAGUCGCCCUGUAACACGUGAUCGAAAGUAGAUAUUGUCAUAUAUCAAUUUGGAGCACUUGGAUGCGUAGGAGUGGUUCACUUAGGAACGUCGGAGAGCCUGUAUGCUAAGUAGCAAUGGGUUUAGGAUUUAAUGAGAACCUGUAACUGGCUGUGAGACUGAACAAAAACUACGGAUAACAUUAUUAAUAAAAGCUGGCGAUGGCAAAAAACAUACUUAAACUGAA